GGCGGCGGCGGCGCUCCCUGCCCAGAGCUGCCGCGGCGCCGGGAGGCUGGGGGCGGAGGGCGGCGCGGGAGGAGCGGCCCGAGCCGCAGCGCUACGGCGGCCCGGCGGGGCCUCCAGCGUUCGCCUGCAGGGCGGCGUGGGGCGUGGCGGGCCUCUGGUGGCACCGCGCCCAGCACUUCGGGCUCUUGGUGGCGGCCGAGCUGCGGGACCAGAGAUCCCCCCACUCGGCACCCCUGCUCCUGCCGAGUGAACAGGACUCCUGGCUACUCUGCACUGGCUUUCUAACUUUCUGAUGGGGGUGCAGUCCUUUGCAUUCCAGGGGUCACAGCAACACCCGCAUCGCCCGUUCUCAGCCGCAGGGUCUCCGCCUGCAUCACUCGACUCUAAAAUUUCCUUCCCUAGUGCACGGAACUGCUGUCCAGGACUCUGCUCUCCGACUACCUCAGGGAGGAUUCUGUUUUGGGAAAAGUGUUGAUCCAUUUCUAAUUCAUCUUUGUUUCUUCAUAAUGGAGUGUUGUGCCAGGUACACAGGGAGUGGCAAAGGAGAUUUUUACAUGAAAUUAUGAGUACAGACCAGGCACUGUGGCUUGCUAUGUUAUGCAUUGGGGAUCAAAUAUGAAGAAGCCACAGACCCUGAGUUGAGGAACAUAAAGAUUAUGCUGGAAGACAUAAAGGACCUCAAAUCCACUGCUCACAACUGGACUCAUGUUUUUCACCGGAUUCUGACCUCCUACUAGCUGCCAAAUCUUGGAGGCAGCAAAGAAGAAAGUAAGUUGUCUGGCAUUGGUAAGUUCCGGAGAAUCAAGUGCAGAAUCACUGCAGAGGACCUAAAAAUAACCACACAUCCAAUGCAGGACACACUGGCAGAACGAAGCCUGUUACAGCUAAGGCCAAAGAAAGGGGCACAGUCACCAUCAAGCUGAAGACCAGCCUCAACUGGACGGGACAGGAAUAUCACUUAGGACUGGUAAACACUGCGGCACCAAAAUGGGUGCAUCUCAACACAAAGGAGGUAUUUUAAAUUCAAUACCAGAAGAAUCAAUUGGAGUCGGGGAGAGUUUACAGGGAAGUUUUUUUUUUUUUUUUUUUCAAAGGGGAGCUUAAUCUAUAAAGAUAGCUGACAUCACACUACAAGAUGCUCAUUAAAUACAAAAUGGUCAAUCAAAUAACAGUUUGAAAGUAACGAGAAGAAAAGGCUUCAUAAAUGAAGGGUGAAAAACUGAAAAUGAUCUCCUCAUCUUGUAUAUUCUAGUUAUUUUUAUACUUAGUUAUACUUAGAACCACCCAGAGUGACUAAUCUAACAGGGCAGGUGAAGACUAGAAAAUGUUGCCAAUUAAUCUACAUUUUCUAAUAAGAAACAUAAAUAUUUGAAAUGUUUUGUGUCACCAGGAAGAAUAUACUACUAGAUACAUGUCUAUUCUUUUUCCUAAGUAAUGCCAUUUCACAUUUCACACAGAGAUAGCCUAACAACAGUGAUUCAUUGGUUGUAUUUGCUCAUGAGAAGAAGCCAGGACAACUUUGGUAUUGUGAAGAUCUAAUCUGUAAGGAUAUUUUACCUACCAAAAAAGAAAGUACAGAUGUCUUCACUUUGCAUGGCUCUUAUAUACACAAAUUUGUUACUGCACUUUAGUUAAAUAACACCAGUCCUCCCACAGAAGUGUGAAUUUUGGUUACCACUGCUACAAAUCACUAUA
rnacentral:lncRNA from 1 species